rnacentral:tRNA from 13 species
GUCCGCGUGCCUAAUGGAUAAGGCGUCUGACUUCGAAUCAGAAGAUUAGGUUCGAGUCCUGCCGGGACG